rnacentral:lncRNA from 1 species
AAUGUACUUCAUUGUGUGUCAAUAUCUAUAAUAUACAGUAAUUCAUUGCUUUUUGUCACAUUCCAAGUUUAUUAAAUUUUGCUUAUUUUCCUCUCUUUUUCCCGAGGAGGGAUCGUUGAUGUCAGUAAACUGGACACUGUUUUGCAAAACAUGGGAAUGAAGCUUAUAGGAACAGAAAGUAAAGACUUACUAGAGAAUCUGCCUGUUGAUGCUAUUGGACAGGUGUUUCAAAAUAGGGUUUUGGAUGAAGUAAAGUCUCUCAAAGGCGGGAUGAUUAAUGUCAAUGAUCUGAACAAAGUUCUUGGAAACAUGGGAAUUAAGCUCACAGAAAAAGAACUUGAAGCUCUGAUAGCUAAUCUUCCAGUUGAUGGUGAGCAUGAAGUAUAUAAUAUACUCUAACAUCGCUGAGCUCCAAAGGGUUAUGUCCAAGUAUCUGCUAAAUAUUUCUAUUUAGAUGUCCCAGGCUAAAAAGAAAUUCA